GACGAACGCUGCGGCGUGCUUAACACAUUCAAGUCGAACGGAAAGGCCCUGCUUUUGUGGGGUGCUCGGGGGGCGAACGGGGGAGGAACACGUGAGUAACCUGCCCUUGACUUUUGGGUAACUUCAGGGAACUUGGGCUAAUACCGGGUAGGAGCUCCUGCUUCAUGGUGGGGGUUGGAAAGUUUCGGCGGUUUGGGAUGGACUCGCGGCUUAUCAGCUUGUUGGUGGGGUAGUGGCUUACCAAGGCUUUGACGGGUAGCCGGCCUGAGAGGGUGACCGGCCACAUUGGGACUGAGAUACGGCCCAGACUCCUACGGGAGGCAGCAGUGGGGAAUAUUGCACAAUGGGCGGAAGCCUGAUGCAGCAACGCCGCGUGCGGGAUGACGGCCUUCGGGUUGUAAACCGCUUUCGCCUGUGACGAAGCGUGAGUGACGGUAAUGGGUAAAGAAGCACCGGCUAACUACGUG
rnacentral:rRNA from 1 species